rnacentral:misc_RNA from 1 species
AAAGAUCGCAGCCUGCGGCAGCUCCUACAGGAGGUUGCAUAUCUAUGUAGGAGCUGCCGCAGGCUGCGAUCUUU